rnacentral:lncRNA from 1 species
AGGGCCCCAAGAAAAGAAAACUCUGAAGUGUGGCUAAUCGGGCAGGAGGAGAGUAGGAAGGAAGUACCCGCUUGUUUAUCCCCUAAGAGGUAACCGACUGCAGGACUUUCGUUUUGCUCAGCGCUGCUCACUGCCAUGUUUGCUGUCUUUCCUCAAGGCCAAGGGUCAUUUGCUCAGCGCUCUGGUCCUCUAUAUCCAGGUAUACUUCACAGCUCUGAGCCUCAGGGGCCUUUGGGCCGCCAACAUCCCCAUGGUCCCAACGCAAGGGCUCCCCCUGGUGGCGUCAGGACAGCCUACAUGGCAGAGUGUUAAGCAGGGCUUCAGGGUUACCCAACAACCCACCUAGAUCCAGAGGCUCCUAGAGGUUAUCUGGUUUGGCCCUGAACUAGUUAGAGUGGUGAGUUCUAGUGUAUACUAGGAACCUACAUAAAACUUGGGUGAGGGAAUUAUCUUUCCAGUAGAUAAAAGGCUUGGCCUCCUCCUCCAUCCGUUGGGCUCCUUUGGACUUUCCUGGCUUUUCUGUACUUCCUACUGUCUACUGUAGCUAAUGUUUAGAAGCUAGGAUCUGCAUAUGAACAAGGAGAUGGUAUUUUUUCUUUCUAAGCCUGGAUUAUAUGAAUUUUAUAACUUGGUUUUGCUUUACAACUGAAUGCAAUUCCACCAUGUAUGUGCUCCCCAUUUCAUUACCAGUUCGUGUAUUGAUGGACAUCUAGGCUGAUUUUUGUUUUAAGAGAGAGAAAGAAUAUGAUGUUGGGUGAGUAGGAAUG